UCUGUACUCUGUGUACAGGCCAUCGGAACUUUCUGUAUGCACUCUGUUAUGCUCUCAAGGCCAUUUGAUUUUGCUUUGUCAAAACCCACAGCCAGUUGCCCAAGAAAGAAAACUAGCAAAACCAGAUGAAACAGUCAGAAGUCAUUGAGAUUACCCAAACACCAAGAAUCUCUGACUCAGCAGUCAUGAAAAAUAUUCAUCUGGCCUGUGAGUGGGUGGAGGAGAACCAACGCCACUUUGCUGGGAAGAUUGAACUGCCAAAGAUUUUAAGAAUGAAGGAGAAUGAUGCCUUGUUGGCUAUCACAAUUUGCGACUUAUUUAUAAACACAUUAUAUGAAGGUGACAUGGACGAAGAAGAAAUCCGGGCUCCUUUCUUAUUCACUUUUCAGAGACUAGAGGAUGAGGAAUUUCCAGCAACACCUGUAGGACAGUGGAAUAUGUGACUAUUAUACAACUCCCAAAUGUCGGUGGAUUGGAUGCCUUACUAGUCCCUGAGCACGUGUUACCAUGUUCAUCCCGGCAAAUCACAAGGCUGGUUUCAGACUACUUUGCUUUGACUGGUUAUAUAUUGAAAUAGCAUAAUGCAUAGCCUACCACGUAAGGCUGAGUCUAUCCUCAAUAACAGUAAUAUAAUUCCAUUCAAAUUAUUAUAUUUACAAGAUUUUUGGAGUAUGUGCGUUCAUAUAUACAAAUAAAAAAAAGGACAGAUACGAUAACCUAGACCGAACUUUAUUACACAAAUUAAUCCGAUUAUUUUAAUUCACAUAAUGCGAUGGAAAAAAGAAGGAAAGAGAUAGUAAGCUUUCACAUUGCCUACUAAGUGUAGUAAUUUACAUCA